CCUACGGGAGGCUGCAGUGAGGAAUAUUGGUCAAUGGGCGUAAGCCUGAACCAGCCACGCCGCGUGCGGGAUGACGGUUCUACGCGUCGUAAACUUCUUUUGUACCGGAAUAAACUGCCUUACGUGUCCGGUUUUGUAUGUACCUUAUGAAUAAGGAUCGGCUAACUCCGUGCCAGCAGCCUCGGUAAUACGGAGGAUACGAGCGUUAUCCGGAUUCAUUGGGUUUAAAGGUUGCGUAGGUGGGUUUUUAAGUCAGCGGUGAAAGUCCGAGUCUAAACAAGGGAUGUGCCGCUAAUACUGGGGGACUAGAGGAGGUAUGAGGCAGGGGGAAUGUGUGGUGUAGCGGUGAAAGGCAUAGAUAUCACGCAGAACCCCGAUUGCGAAGGCAGCAUGCCAGGUCAUGACUGACGCUGAUGCACGAAAGCGUGGGUAUCAAACAGGAUUAGAUACCCUUGUAGUC
rnacentral:rRNA from 1 species